GUGAUCGGCCACAUUGGAACUGAGACACGGUCCAAACUGCCUACGGGAGGCAGGCAGUGGGGAAGUAUUGCACAAUGGGCGAAAGGCCGUGAUGCAGCAAACGCCGCGUGAGUGAUGAAGGCCUUCGGGUCGUAAAACUCAUGUCCUCAAGGAAGGAUAAUGACGGUACUUGAGGAGGAAGCCCCGGCUAACUACGUGCCAGCAGCCGCGGUAAUACGUAGGGGGCUAGCGUUAUCCGGAUUACUGGGCGUAAGGGUGCGUAGGCGGUCUUUCAAGUCAGGAAGUGAAAGGGCUACGGGCUCAACCGUAGUAAGCUCUUGAAACUGGGAGACUUGAGUGCAGGAGAGGAGAGUGGAAUUCCUAGUGUAGCGGUGAAAUGCGUAGAUAUUAGGAGGAACACCAGUUGCGAAGGCGGCUCUCUGGACUGUAACUGACGCUGAGGCACGAAAGCGUGGGGAGCAAACAGGAUUAGAUACCCUGGUAGUCCACGCUGUAAACGAUGAGUACUAGGUGUCGGGGGUUUACCCCCCUCGGUGCCCGCAGCCUAACGCAUUAAGUACUCCGCCCUGGGGAAGUACGCUCGCAAGAGUGAAACUCAAAAGGA
rnacentral:rRNA from 1 species